GCCGGGCGCAGUGGUGCGUACCUGUAGUCCCAGCUACUUGGGAGACUGAGGUGGGAGGAUCACUUGAGCUCAGGAUUUCUGGGCUGUAGUGCGCUAUGCCAGUCGGGUGUCCACACAAAGUUCAGCAUCAAUAUGGUGACCUCCCGGGAGCGGGGGACCACCAGGUUGCCUAAGGAGGGGUGAACCGGCCCAGGUCGGAAACGGAGCAGGUCAAAACUCCAGUGCUGAUCAGUAGUGGUAUCGCGCCUGUGAAUAGCCACCGCCCUCCAGCCCAGGCAACAUAGGGAGACCCCAUCUCU
rnacentral:SRP_RNA from 1 species